rnacentral:rRNA from 1 species
UCAAGCUACGAAGGGUGUGCGAUGAAUGCCUAGGGACGAGUUGCCGAAGAAGGACGCGUAAGCGGCGAUACGCCGCGGGGAGCUGCACAGAAGCGAUGAUCCGCGGAUUUCCGAAUGGGGAAACCCGCCAGGGGUAAUGCCUUGGUACCCACAUCUGAAUCCAUAGGGUGUGAGGAGGGAACCGGGUGAACUGAAACAUCUAAUUAACCCGAGGAAAAGAACUCGAAGAGACUCCGUAAGUAGCGGCGAGCGAAAGCGGAAGAGCCUAAACCAGGGGGCUUGCCCUCUGGGGUCGUGGGGCCACCACUAAGCUUUCGAAACUAUGGGUUCGACCUAUAGUUUUGGAAGCUUAGAAAAGAAGAUCGAUACUGGUUAGUAGAAUGCUCUGGAAAGGGCAUCCAUAGAGGGUGACAGGCCCGUAUACCAAAACCAAGUCGAAUUCAGGUGGUACCCGAGUAGCACGGAUCACGAGGAAUUCCGUGUGAAUCUGUCCGGACCACCGGAUAAGGCUAAGUACGACUCGUCACCGAUAGUGCAUCCAGUACCGUGAGGGAAAGGUGAAAAGAACCCCGGGAGGGGAGUGAAAUAGAACCUGAAAUCGCACGACCCGCAAACAGUCAGAGCACCAUGUCGGGAGUAAUCCUGUCAAGUGUGAUGGCGUACCUUUUGCAGAAUGAGCCUGCGAGUUACUAGUGCCGGCAAGGUUAAGUGUCUCAGACACGGAGCCGGAGGGAAACCGAGUCCGAAUAGGGCGUCAAGUCGGUAUUAGUAGACCCGAAACUGCGUGAUCUAGCCAUGGUCAGGGUGAAGUGUUGGUAACACAACAUGGAGGCCCGAACUCAUUGACGUUGAAAAGUCUCGGGAUGAACUGUGGUUAGUCCGGUGAAAUGCCAAUCGAACGCAGAGAUAGCUGGUUCUCCCCGAAAUGCAUUUGGGUGCAGCGUUACGUGUUUUCAUACGGGGGUAGAGCACUGAAUGGGCUAGGGGGCCUACCAGCUUACUGAACCCAACCAAACUCCGAAUACCGUAUGAUUAGCGUAGCAGUGAGACUGCGAGGGAUAAGCUCCGUGGUCAAAAGGAAAACAGUCCAGAUCGUCAGCUAAGGGCCCUAAACAUAGACUAAGUGUGAAACGAUGUGAAGUCGCGUAAACAGCCAGGAGGUUGGCUUAGAAGCAGCCACCCUUUAAAAAGUGCGUAAUAGCUUACUGGCCGAAUGUGACUUUGCGCGGAUAAUGUAAGGGGGCUAAAGUCUAUUCCCGAAGCUACGGGAUCCCGCAAGAGCGGUGAUCGGUAGGGGAGCGUCCUGUUCUGCGGUGAAGCCUGAGCGUAAGCACAGGUGGAGCGUACAGGAGCGAGAAUGCAGGCAUGAGUAGCGAUCACAGGGGUGAGAAUCCCCUGCGCCGAAAACCUAAGGUUUCUCCGGCUAUGUUCGUCAGACGGAGGUUAGGCGGUCCCUAAGGCGAGGCCAGAAGGCGUAGCCGAUGGACAUCCGGUUGAAAUUCCGGACCUUGGUGCAGUAGCGAUGGAGGGACGCUUCUAUAGGUUCCAUCCCACACCGUUGGUUGUUGUGGGCUACCGGGAUAACCCAGCCGUUUAAUAGAUGGCUUUUCAAAGGGUGGGGCCGGGGGGAAGGGAUGGCUUCGGCUUGAACGAACUGGGACUGAAGGGGGCCGAGAAAAGCUUCUAAGCAUAUACUGCAUCAAACCGUACUGCAAACCGACACAGGUAGGUGAGUCGAGGAGACUCAGGCGUUCGAGAGAACUCUCGUUAAGGAACUAGGCAAACGAGCCCCGUAACUUUGGAAGAAGGGGCGCCCCGCAAGGGGCCGCAGCGAAGCAGCCCAGGCGACUGUUUACCAAAAACACAGGUCUCUGCUAAGACGAAAGUCGAUGUAUAGGGGCUGACGCCUGCCCAAUGCCAGUCCAUUAAGCGGAGAUGUCAGGAGCAAUCUGAAGCAUUGAAGUGAAGUGCUGGUGAAUGGCGGCCGUAACUCUAACGGUCCUAAGGUAGGAAUUAAUGCAACUGCCUUAGUAAAAUCUAGCUAUAUGCUGGGAAGUCUGAGUAUCUCGGAUUACGAAUCGAAAGAUCGUGACAAUAUCCGAGCGCAGAUCAUCAGCAGGAAAGAUCCCGACCCUGUCGGGAAAUCCUCAGAGGCCAUACGCUAGAUAUUCGAAGGAUGGCACCUUCGGAUAAAGAAAUGGUCCCAUCUGCAUGGCGACAUGCAGGGAUGAUCCAGCUCAAGAUGGAUCGUCCACUCGAUCAUAAAGGUCGAGCAAGACAAUGAGCGAAAUUCCUUGUCGGCUAAAUACCGACCCGCAUGAAAGGCGUAACGACUUGGGCACUGUCUCAACGAGAAGCUCGGUGAAAUUGUAGCACCCGUGAAGAUGCGGGUUCCGCGCAGUAGGACGGAAAGACCCCGUGGAGCUUUACUACACCUUCAGAUUGUAAGCUGGUUGUAGAUGUAGAGCGUAGGUGGGAGCUUCGGCAUCAAUGGAACACCACCCUUCUACAUCUGGUUUACUAACCCGCACCGUUAUCCGGUGUGGAGACAUUCUGUGGCGGGUAGUUUGACUGGGGCGGUCGCCUCCCAAAAAGUAACGGAGGCGUACAAAGGCACACUCAGCCUGGUCGGAAAUCAGGCGUCGAGCGUAUAGGUAUAUAGUGUGCUUGACUGUGAGACAAACAAGUCGAGCAGGGACGAAAGUCGGUCUAAGUGACCCUCUGGUGGUGCGUGGGCACGCCAGGGUUCAUCGGAUAAAAGCUACCCCGGGGAUAACAGGCUGAUCUUGCCCGAGCGCUCACAGCGACGGCAUGGUUUGGCACCUCGAUGUCGGCUCGUCUCAUCCUGGGGCUGUACACGGUCCCAAGGGUUCCGGAGUUCACGGAUUAAAGAGGCACGCGAGCUGGGUUCAGAACGGCGUGAGCCAGUUCGGUCCCUAUCCACUGCGCGCGUAGGAUAUUUGAGGGGAGUCGCUCUUAGUACGAGAGGACCGGAGUGAACCGACCUCUGGUGUACCAGUUGUGCCGCCAGGCGCAGACGCUGGGUAGCCACGUCGGGCCGUGAUAAGCGCUGAAAGCAUCUAAGCGCCAAGCACACCCCAAGAUUAGAUAUCCCAUUUAGAAGUAAGGCCCCUGGAAGAUCACCAGGUAAUAGGUCGCAUGUGGAAGCGUGGUAACACGUGCAGCUGAGCGAUACUAAUAGGCCGAGGGCUUACAAAU